rnacentral:rRNA from 1 species
ACGGAGGGUGCGAGCGUUGUCCGGAAUCACUGUGCGUAAAGGGCGCGUAGGCGGUGCGAGAAGCGUGUGGUGAAAGGCCGGGGCUCAACUCCGGCUCGGCCGUGCGGACUCUCGCGCUUGGUGAGUGCUGUAGAGGCGGGCGGAAUUCCGGGUGUAGCGGUGGAAUGCGUAGAGAUCCGGAAGAACACCGGUGGCGAAGGCGGCCCGCUGGGCAGUGACUGACGCUGAGGCGCGACAGCGUGGGGAGCAAACAGGA